GAUGAACGCUGGCGGCGCGCCUAAUACAUGCAAGUCGAGCGAACAGAUGAGAAGCUUGCUUCUCUGAUGUUAGCGGCGGACGGGUGAGUAACACGUGGGUAACCUACCUAUAAGACUGGGAUAACUCCGGGAAACCGGGGCUAAUACCGGAUAAUAUUUUGAACCGCAUGGUUCAAUAGUGAAAGACGGUUUCGGCUGUCACUUAUAGAUGGACCCGCGCCGUAUCAGCUAGUUGGUAAGGUAACGGCUUACCAAGGCGACGAUACGUAGCCGACCUGAGAGGGUGAUCGGCCACACUGGAACUGAGACACGGUCCAGACUCCUACGGGAGGCAGCAGUAGGGAAUCUUCCGCAAUGGGCGAAAGCCUGACGGAGCAACGCCGCGUGAGUGAUGAAGGUCUUCGGAUCGUAAAACUCUGUUGUUAGGGAAGAACAAAUUUGUUAGUAACUGAACAAGUCUUGACGGUACCUAACCAGAAAGCCACGGCUAACUACGUGCCAGCCGCCGCGGUAA
rnacentral:rRNA from 1 species